rnacentral:rRNA from 1 species
AUUGAACGCUGGCGGCAUGCCUUACACAUGCAAGUCGAACGGCAGCACGGGAGCAAUCCUGGUGGCGAGUGGCGAACGGGUGAGUAAUGUAUCGGAACGUGCCCAGUCGUGGGGGAUAACGUAGCGAAAGCUACGCUAAUACCGCAUACGAUCUAUGGAUGAAAGCGGGGGAUCGCAAGACCUCGCGCGAUUGGAGCGGCCGAUAUCAGAUUAGGUAGUUGGUGGGGUAAAGGCUCACCAAGCCGACGAUCUGUAGCUGGUCUGAGAGGACGACCAGCCACACUGGGACUGAGACACGGCACAGACGCCUACGGGAGGCAGAAGUGGGGAAUUUUGGACAAUGGGGGCAAGCCUGAUCCAGCAAUGCCGCGUGCAGGAUGAAGGCCUUCGGGUUGUAAACUGCUUUUGUACGGAACGAAACGGUGAGCUCUAAUACAGUUUGCUAAUGACGGUACCGUAAGAAUAAGCACCGGCUAACUACGUGCCAGCAGCCGCCGUAA